ACACUCCUGCGGGAGGCAGCAGUGGGGAAUUUUGGACAAUGGGCGAAAGCCUGAUCCAGCAAUGCCGCGUGAGUGAAGAAGGCCUUCGGGUUGUAAAGCUCUUUUGUCAGGGAAGAAACGGUGAGAGCUAAUAUCUCUUGCUAAUGACGGUACCUGAAGAAUAAGCACCGGCUAACUACGUGCCAGCAGCCGCGGUAAUACGUAGGGUGCAAGCGUUAAUCGGAAUUACUGGGCGUAAAGCGUGCGCAGGCGGUUUUGUAAGUCUGAUGUGAAAUCCCCGGGCUCAACCUGGGAAUUGCAUUGGAGACUGCAAGGCUAGAAUCUGGCAGAGGGGGGUAGAAUUCCACGUGUAGCAGUGAAAUGCGUAGAUAUGUGGAGGAACACCGAUGGCGAAGGCAGCCCCCUGGGUCAAGAUUGACGCUCAUGCACGAAAGCGUGGGGAGCAAACAGGAUUAGAAACCCCAGUAGUCCC
rnacentral:rRNA from 1 species